CGAAAGUUACGCUAAUACCGCAUACGAUCUAAGGAUGAAAGCGGGGGACUCGCAAGAGCCUCGCGCGAUUGGAGCGGCCGAUAUCAGAUUAGGUAGUUGGUGAGGUAAAGGCUCACCAAGCCAACGAUCUGUAGCUGGUCUGAGAGGACGACCAGCCACACUGGAACUGAGACACGGUCCAGACUCCUACGGGAGGCAGCAGUGGGAAUUUUGGACAAUGGACGCAAGUCUGAUCCAGCCAUUCCGCGUGCAGGAUGAAGGCCCUCGGGUUGUAAACUGCUUUUGUACGGAACGAAAAGGUUUGUCUUAAUACGAUGAGCUCAUGACGGUACCGUAAGAAUAAGCACCGGCUAACUACGUG
rnacentral:rRNA from 1 species